rnacentral:rRNA from 1 species
UUGACGGGGCCGCACAAGCGGUGGAGCAUUGUGGUUUAAUUCGACGCAACGCGAAGAACCUUACCAGGGCUUGACAUCCCCUGACCGCGUAUGAAAGUACGUUUUCACCCUCGGGUGACAGGGAGACAGGUGGUGCAUGGUUGUCGUCAGCUCGUGUCGUGAGAUGUUGGGUUAAGUCCCGCAACGAGCGCAACCCCUACGUUUAGUUGCUAACGCGUGAAGGCGAGCACUCUAGACGAACUGCCGUUGACAAAACGGAGGAAGGUGGGAUGACGUCAAAUCAUCAUGCCCCUUAUGUUCUGGGCUACACACGUGCUACAAUGGCCGGUACAGACGGACGCAAAGCCGCGAGGUGGAGCAAAUCCUAAAAAGCCGGUCUCAGUUCGGAUUGCAGGCUGCAAUUCGCCUGCAUGAAGUCGGAAUCGCUAGUAAUCGCAGGCCAGCAUACUGCGGUGAAUACGUUCCCGGGCCUU